UACAUGAGGAUAUGUCUUAUGAGGAGUACCCGGUGUGCAUCCUCGAUCGAGAAGAAAGAAAGCUGCGGAGUCGCAGAAUUUCAUAUUUGAAAGUCCAGUGGAGCAACCAUGCGGCGCGAGAAGCCACUUGGGAGCUCGAGGAAACCAUGCGGAGAGGGUAUCGGCAUCUAUUUGAGUCGACAAGUUGAGGUAUGUGUAAUUUCGCGGACGAAAUUAUUUUAAGGGGUGGAGUUUGUAAUAUACCGAAAAUUCGAAAAAUGAAUAUCGACCUUUAGUCAAAUUGACCAAAGUGCGAGGAUGGUACACUUCGGAAAGUUCGAAGGUGUUAAAAUGAUCAAACGUGAGUUGCGGGAGGUUUUCGAGAGCUAAAAGUGUGAAAUCUGCAUUCUGCAGGUUUUC
rnacentral:lncRNA from 1 species